ACAACGAAAGGAUUUCACGAUUAGGGAAGAGCAGAGCAGCGAACAAUAAGAAAAAGGGCAACAGAGGCAAAGUACUCUGAUCUCCUCCUGUUCGAUGAUUCCCCCCUAAUUUUCCUCUUUUUUUUCUGAUCAAUUUCCCUCCUUCACUGUAUAAUCUCGUGUGAAAUUGUUUGAUCCCUUGAUUACGUGGACUUUGCGCUAUGUUUUGGUGGAAAUCUGAUUCGAUGGAGUGGCUACGGGAGUGAAGAAAUGCCGGCGGCCAUGGAGGGCAGGAUGAGUGGUGGAUGCCAGCAUAAUUUCGGGGAGAGCAGCGAGGAGGAGCUGGCAGUGCUCCCUCGGCACACUAAGGUAAUCGUCACCGGCAACAAUCGGACCAAAUCGGUGCUCGUCGGCCUCCAGGGGGUCGUCAAGAAGGCUGUGGGACUUGGAGGUUGGCACUGGCUGGUUUUGACAAAUGGAAUAGAAGUGAAGCUGCAACGUAAUGCACUAAGUGUGAUUGAAGGCCCAACUGGCAAUGAGGAAGAUGAUGAAGUUGAAUGUAACAAUGCACUCUGUAAUGGCUCAGUUUCUGGAUCUAUACAAUUACAUAAAACUCAAAGCUCAAGGAGCAGACACCAAAAAGGAUCUUGGAGCAGAUCUAACUCUUUUGAUUCCCAGUCUAAGGGAUCUGUUUCCUCCUCCACAAUGAGUACAAAGGUUGACCUGAGCAAAUUAGAAACAACAGCAUUGCAGAGAUAUUAUCGACACUUCAACCUUAUGGAUGCUAAUCCUAAUCCCUCCAAAGAGCAGUUGAUUGAAGUUGUUCAAAGGCAUUUCGUUUCUCAGCAAUUGGAUGAAAUGCAGGUAAUUACGGGGUUCAUGCAAGCCGCAAAGAGACUGAAGACCAUCUGCAAUUAAACGUGGGGGUACCUGCCUAACGUAAGCUAGCAGAAUGGUGGUAAAUCCUGCGUAUCUAUCGGAAGUUAGUUACUUCAUUGUUAGUUUUGUGCAGAUAAUCUUCUCUUUAAAAGAUCACUAAGUUAAACGCUGUUGAUGGACUAUUUGGAAUAGAAAUGCGCAGUCUUCAGUAUUGGCCACGACACAAACUGUGGAGCUUUUGGCAACGGAAUGCUUAUAUCACUGGAAGUUCCUAUUAUUUAUUCCAUUUGCGAGCAUACCAUACCCUCCUAAGCUUCGUGGGAUCAAUUCGUUGGACUCUGUGGCUCGCUUCUGUAACUGUUGAGAGUUGUCGCCAUAUGCUGCCCAUCGCGCUCGUGACAUGACUCGGGGAGUGAACAUGUGGUGAAUUCCCAUUAGUGAGGCCCUGGACGUCAGGAGUCACAGCAGAGCAGCGAACAAA